UACUGUAAUUAUCUUGUGCCUUUUCUACCUUUUUUUUCCUUUCUUAAAUUUGACUCGGUGUAAACUGCUCAGAAUUCCAAUGUACUGGCAAAUACAACUCUUGUAUCUUGUAUAUCACAUCCUAUAACUGUUAACGUCAGCGAGCCUUCACUGCUCUCCUGCUGGGAACACUCUGGGUCACAUUGGUGAAACUGUAUCUGCCCAAAAUGACCAAGGCAACCAGUCCUAUUGAUGCAGCAGCAACCAGAGAUGAAACCCUCAGAACAUAGGAUGUAUCUGGAACAAGGAAACGCUGUCUACCAUGUCGGCUCCUCUCCACAGUCCAUCAGCUCCACACACAGAGCUGUUGUCUCCGCUCCUCCACACAAGGCCUUCAUCACAAACAAACAUGGCCACACUGCCGUAUGUGGUCCCUGUGACUGACAGCAGCACUGUGUCGUCCACUGAGGAAGCUCUGUCCUCGUAAGGGUGGAAGGGCUCCGCUCCGUUGUGGACUUGAUAUCCCAGCCGGCAGCUGCAGUCAACACUGCCCUCAAGAUUCCUGCAUUGACCUCCCUCUCCACACAGCCCUGUCAUCCUGCACUCAUCAACGUCUGCACAACCAAUGGUAAAUGAGCAUAUGAAAUAAAAUUAUAAUGUAAGGCUCGAUUUACAGGUAAAGGUCGAAAAAAUGUAUCUUGUCAUUUGUCAUUGUUAGUCAACAUUCUUUAAUCUCUUAUGUGGGACAGUUUUGGUUAUAUAUAUAUCGGUGAAUUGGAAUUUUGAAUUUGUACGUAGCCUAAUAAGUUCAGCACUUUAACAGUCCUCAGUUUGGCUGGAGCUUUGCACAUUGUUUUGAUAACUGGGUUUUGACUUAAAAUAUUGUAAUAACAAUCCAAAUAUGCUGUCAGUGAUGAUAGUUUUUGUUUGUUUGUUUGUAGUUAAAUUGAUGUUAUGUAGAGCUGUGAUUGAGGACGCAGUCAGAUCUGUAGUUAUAUUCGGACUUGAUCUCAGGCUGAUUGACAAAAUUUGAGAUUACAGAUGUGAGAUGUGACUGUGAAAACAGAUGUGAACAAAAUGGGCCGUCAAGGAUUCCAUGGUUGCUAUGGUUUGUCUCCAGGUGCAUCAUUUCUACAAGAUCAUAAUUUAAACAUAAACAAGCCCUCAAACGGUCCAGAUAACAGCCAGACAUGAGCGACACAAACUAACUUCUAUCAUGGAAAAUGUGAGAUUUGAACACUUUAAGUCUAAAGUGUUUUCUAUGUAUUUUACCGUCGAGAGAUUCAGAUACCUUAAAGUUCAUCAAAGUUUUGUCAAUCGGCUCUGCUAUGAACACUAUAAUGAAAAUAUGUUAUAAAUGAUAUAGGAGACUGUAAUGAUGAUGCACAAUAUUAGGCUACUGACUCAACUCAUCUAAUCAUUAAAAAAAAGACCAAAAAUGU